GUGCUCACUUCAGCAGCACAUACACUAAAACAGUAACAAAACAGAAAAGAGUAUCAUGGCCCCUGCAAAAAGAUGACACAAUUCGUGAAGUGUUCCCUAUUAAA
ensembl:snRNA U6 U6 spliceosomal RNA